rnacentral:lncRNA from 1 species
CCAUAAAAAUCUCAUAACAUAACUUAAGUGUUCAAAUUUGACACAAUUUAUCAAUGCAUAUAAAACAGGGGGAGCACAUCUUGUGAUAACUAUUUUAAACAAAAAGAGGGGUCUGAAUGCUGAAUUCCAAAACAAAGGGGGAGUGAACUGAAUGCUGAAUUCUUUAAUAAAAAUAACUUGAAUAUCCUUGAGUGGUUCAUGGUAACAUGCUGAAUUCCACUAGGA